AUAUGAAACGAUUAAAACCACCAAUCUCUACUUUUAUUGAGAGAAGACUAAUUUUAAAUUUGUCAGCAACACUGGAAAAAAAAGAAGAGUACAAGUGCUAGUAAUUUUAAACUUCGAAAAUUUUUACACCACAAUUUCCAAGAGUGGUCAACAUGUCAGCUCGUCAGUUGACUCACCAAAUUUUAGAUAGCCCCACCCCAAUGCCAUGUAUUCCCAAACAGGCCCCCACCUUCUCCAAUAAUGGAAGAGUUUUCGUAAUUUUUUUUAAAAGAAAAAAAUUCUAAAUGGUUUUAAUAGAAAAGUGUAUCCAAAUUGAUACGUUAGACCUCUAUCAACAAAAUAAAAAAAAAAUAUAUAUAUAUAUAACAAGUAAAAAUUUCAAACGGUCCGUUUUGAAACAGAUUGUAUAACCCUUGCUGAUGCCAUUCACACUACCUCCACUCACCUCAAUGAAGUUUGAGACAUUAUUUCUCAAUGCAGAGGUCUCUUGUUUACAAAUACCGACUUUAAAGUGUCGUAUAUUAGGAGGCAAGUUAAUAGGGUUGCUCAUAGUAUAGCUAGAGCUUCUUUAUCUCAUCCUAGCCCCCAUCUUUUUUAUAGUGUACCUUCAAAUUUGUACUCUUUGUUCUUGAAUGAAAUGCAUUAAUUUUGCCUUUGCUAAAAAAAAAAAAAAAACAAGUAAAAAAAACAUGUGAAAACACUUUUUUUAGAUGGUACUUAGCAUUUUGAGAAUUUCAAUCUUUUUAUAUUCUUUUAAUAAAAUUAGUUUGAAUAAUAAUAGUCAUUAGUUUAAAUACUUUUUUAUAAUAUUAAUAAUAUUCACAGAGUCUUUAUGGACUUCCCCUAACUUAAAUUAUAUUGAAUAAAAUGAAAAUUACAUACAAUGUAUGAGUUCUGCUUUCUUGACUUGAAAUUCAUUUAACUUUUUUAAAAUUUAAAAAAAUCGGUCAAAAUAAAAUCCUAGAAUUCAAGGUUUUACUUCUUUAAAUAAAUUCAUUUAAUUCAACAAAAAUUAGUCUUUAUCAAUAGAAGAUAUUCAUUUCAUAUGUUAAGUUUAGUUUAAUUGAAUUUCAAAGGUUUAACAUAGUGAGAACAUAUCUUCAUUCAAAAAAUUUAAAAAAAAAAUUCGAACAUGCCUCCAUGCCGAACGAACAUUAACAAAUGUGCUUAAGUAACAUCCACAAAAGAAUAUUUAGGGGGUGUAUUGAAUUGAGAUUUUAAAAAGAUUAUUUUGGCAAACAAAAUUCUACAGAUUUUAAAAGACUUUGUGAAAUUAUAUUGAUUUUAUAGGAUUUUAAAAGACUUUUUUUAAAUGACUUUUUACAAUCAGGAUUUUAAACACAAGAUUUUAAUGGAUUUAUAACACAUAUUUGCAAAAAUUUCAAUAGAGUUUAUGGAAUUUUUAAGAUUUGAGAGGAUCAUAUUCCCUCAAAAAAAAAAAGAUUUGAGAGGAUCACAUGGAAUCAUGGAUUCUUAAGAAAAAAUCAAAAUGACAAGAGUGAAUGAAAAAAAUUAUGAACUUAUAAUAUAGAAUUGACCAAUAAUAAUUAUAAUAAUAACUCGUUACUAAUAAAUAAUAACAAAACUUUGCACAGAGUGUAAGGUGUACUGACAACAACAAAACAAUCUCCUAAAAAAACAAAAACGAUAAAUUAGAAGAAAAAAUUGACUUAAAAGAAACAUACUCCCUCCGAUCACAGUAUUAUAAGCAAAAAUUAACUUUUUAGAUUCAUUCAUUAAAUGUUGUAUUUGGUCAAUAAUAUAAACUAAAUACAUCAUUUAAUAAAUGAAUCUAAAAAGUUGAUUUUUGCUUAUAAUAGUAAUCGGAGGGAGUCUAACUUAAAAAUCUGUAAUAUUUACGGAUGUAUAACUAAAAAGCAUGUAACGUGUAUAAGAAAAACAUUCGACAAUGAGAAGCAACAAGGAAAAGUUUCAAAUGUAUGGUGUACUGAACAAGGAAUAAUACAGUGAGGGUUUAUCAAUAAUAACAACAAGAAAAGGGGAUGAGUGUGGUAUGAGAUAAGAACAAAAUAAGAAUUAUGGAAGUCUCAAAAAGUCUCAAGAAUAUUUGUGAGAUUGUUGAAUGAGUACGUUAUGUGUAUUUUUAAUUAAAAAGUUUCACAAAAUUCACUCCUUAAAAGAAUUCAUUAAAAUCUGUAUAGACAUUUUACAAGUUAGUCGAAGUCUCAUUUGAAUACCACCAAAUUUCGUUCCCUGCAAUAAAGCUUUGAUUGUUUUGAUUGAACACCAUAAGAUUUAUUUAUAUUUUAUAAAAGUUUUAAUUGAAUAUCUCAAGACCUUUUUAUUUUUAAAAAUUCUUUUAUAAUCCCAUGAAAUCUCAAUUGAAUACACCAACGAAAGUUGCCCUCACAACCGUUCACAUAAGUUAUCUUCUUAUCAAUUGAGUCAACCUUCAUUAAAGAAAAAUAAAAUAUUUUAAAAUAGUACAAACAAAAUUCAUUGCAUCAAAGAGUAAAAAAUAAAAUCGUUAAAUAAAUUAAUUUUUUUCAUUAAAUUAAAUUGACAUUUAUACUAUAUAUACAAAGAAAAAUAUCCUUUCAGCACUUUUGGGUUGACUUUUUCUUUUCAAACAUACCCUCAAUUUUCAAUACAAAUAACACAUGUAACUUUUAAAUAUUAAAACAAAUAACAAACACGAUAUGAAAAAAUAUAUUUUUUUGUUUUUUUUCCUUUUUUUUUUUUGGUGAUGUCCGGUCCUCCGGGGUUCAAACCUCAGACCUUGCAUAUAUUAUGCAUUGUCCUUACCAACUGAGUUAAGCUCACAAAGGACUUGUCUUCCUUUAUCAUUUAAAAAGUGUAACAAACUAGAUGACUAUAUUUAUACUUACUUUUUCAUCAUUCCAAUUAUACCCUCAGUUACGAUGGGUGAAAUUGCUCGGAGGGGCUUUUAGACGAGAUAAAGGUUUUAUUGAGGGGUUAGCCAUGAAGAGAGCUUACAGGGCUGCUAAUUAAUACAUCUUCUUCCUCAGUUACGGAAUCCUCAGAGUUAGCUUCUUCUACUUCGAUCGUGCAUGGGUAUUGCCAAUCUUUUCUUUGGCUUAAGGACGUGCCAACCGAUUCACAUGGAGGAGGUGGCUAUGGUGUUUGAUAAAAAGUUGCGUGAAGCGGUUGAGGACAUUGUGGUUGGUGGAGGUCCUUUCUUUGGGGACCUUCAAUGGAUGUUGGCAUCUUUACCUAUUAGGUUUGGAGGGUUGAGUUUGUACUAAACAUUAUAGGCUUCCUCGUACACUUUUGUGGCUUCUAAGGCACAGUCUUGGGUCAUACAAGAUCAAAUUUUGAGAGACAGUGGGUUAUGUGGCAUGGACUUGGAUUUUGAUAAUGCUUUGGAUGGUCUUCGUGGUACGAUUCUAGAUUUUGAUGUUAGCAGUUUUACUAGCAAUGACACCAUCCCUCCUAAAGCACAACAUGUUUUUGCGAGUGCUCUUUUUAGUAAAAAUGUCAGGAUAUGGAAAUUAAGUUUGACAUGACCACGAGACAGAAGGCAAUUUUUGGAUGUUUGCAAGCAGAACAUGCUCAAGAUUUUCUUCUAGCUAUCCCGAUUGAUUGGUUAGGUCAACAUAUGUCACCAGUGGAGUAUCAUACUAUCCUUAGAUAUCGCCUUAUGAUUCCAUUAUUUCCUAAUGAUGUGGUGUGCCCUGUUUGCCGUAAUGUGUGACUGAAUACUUUUAGGGAGCAUGUCGUUCAUUGUAAUGAGUUUCCCGGAUUUAAGUACAUACAUGACUUUGUUAGGGAUGUACCUUUUGAUAUAUUUAGACGUGCGAGAAUAUCAGUGAAGAAGGAGGCGUCUGUGAACUUCCUGACUAACCCACUAGAUAGAAGAUCAACACUCAGGCCUGCAGAUGUUAUGGUGUACAGAUGGGUAGGUGGAAAACAUGCUUGUGUAGACUUGACUGGGGUUUCACUACUUGUGGGAUUAGGUGUCGGACCUUUUACCGUAGGAUAGGCAGCUCUAAAAUCCGCGUCAAACAAAGUGGCCAAACAUGAGAAAGUGUGUUCUGACAAUCAACAGGUUUUUAUACCAUUUGCUUUUGACACUUUCGGUUUCCUAGCACCAGAGGCGGUUGACCUUCUACAUAGAGUUCAAAAGGUCAUGCAUAGCAAUGUCAUGUCCUCUAAGUCCAUGAAUGUUGUGCUCAUGAGGAUUGAUUUUUCCAUCCAAAAAGGUCUAGCGGCGGAGCUUGUUGUCCGCUUGUCUUCUAUUUAAGUGUAAAUAAUGGUUUAUAUAUAUAAUAAACAAAAUUUUCCAACUGAUUAUACCUCUUAAACAACUUUUUCUAUAAUAAAAUUGUUGUUGGUGUCAUUAAAAAAGAAUUUAGAUUAUAUUAUUUUUGUUAUAUUGUAUUAUUGUCGGUGUCGUUGAAAUAGAUAACGAUGGUUAGUUUGAUUUUUUAUAAUUUGAAAGUAACUAACAUUUAUAUUCUUUUUAGUUUUAAUCAAAAUCAAAAUUUCAUAAAAAAAAAAAAAUUCGUUCAUAAUUUUCAAUAGUUGGCACAGAACGGAAAAAUCCGAGUGCCCGUUUUUUCACUGGUCAACGUUAAACAAAAAAAAAAAUUGUGCUAACGAGGAGGCCCACUAACCUGAAAUGAACGCUAGUAAUCCACUAACCGGGCCUUCUUCUAUAUAAUGUGGGGUCAUCAAAAUCAAUCCAACCCAUUUCUCUUUCUCUUACAGAACGACAACGCUCUUCGAUUCGAUUCUCAUCACUUUC
rnacentral:lncRNA from 1 species